rnacentral:lncRNA from 1 species
GGCAUAUUCACCUCUUCUCACACAUACUGUACGUUGGAUGUCAUCAAGCCUUUUUUUUUAACUGAAAUAUAAUUGGUAUACAAUAUUAAUACAGUCUUUUUUUAGUUCAUUGGUGUACCCAUCUCCAUGCAAGUUUUGGUAAGGGGAGACAAAAGAAGAAGAAAUUCUAGUGUUUGAUGUCAUCAUCAUCAUCAUCAUCAUCCCAAACAUUUAUUAAAAACCUUGGCCAGUCAUCUGAGAUAUCACCUUACUGGCAAGACUACAUGGCACUUAGACCACACUGCUUAAUGGACUCCUGUGAGAGGAAAGGGGUUGGCUCAUCAAGCAAGAUGGUCUCUCUGAAUCAGAUCUGCUUGGUGCAAGUGCGAAAGAGACCACAGAUGGAAGCUCACAGAUGGAAGCCUGCUGAUCAUACAGCUGUUUCUUUGUUGUUUCCAAGUCCAACAAACCAAGAUACAAUAUGGCGACGAGGUGAGUCCUUGGAUCUCCCCUUGCCUGUAAACUUACCGAGCUUGAAGGCAGAAGGUGUUAAGCUGUUUGUAUCAUGCAGAGGCAAUUUUGCAAGACCACAGGAAAGAAGGAAAAGGAAGGAAAAACAGGAAAGACUCUAGAAAUCUAGACCUAAAACUGAGGCACCAUGUAGGCUUACAGGUUUCUUUGAGAUCUUUCAAAGUGCACUGAAUGUAGAUCUCCCAAAAAGGGUGGAAAAUAAAUCUAUGUUGUCAUUGUUUAAAACUCCCCA